ACUGCCAGACUGAACCGGAGAGUAAGAGUACUACAGGGGUAGGAGUGAAAUCUUGUAAUCCCUGUGGGACCACCUGUGGCGAAGGCGCUUACCAGAACGGGUUCGACGGUGAGGGACGAAAGCUGGGGGCACGAACCGGAUUAGAUACCCGGUAGUCCCAGCCGUAACGAUGCUCGCUAGGUGUCAGGCAUGGCGCGACCGUGUCUGGUGCCGGCAGGGAAGCCGUGAAGCGAGCCACCUGGGAAGUACGGCCGCAAGGCUGAAACUUAAAGGAAUUGGCGGGGGAGCACAACAACGGGUGGAAGCCUGCGGUUUAAUUGGACUCAACGCCGGACAACUCACCGGGGGCGACAGCAAUAUGUAGGCCAAGCUGAAGACUUUGCCUGAAUCGCUGAGAAGUGGUGCAUGG
rnacentral:rRNA from 1 species